rnacentral:rRNA from 1 species
UUGAAGACCAGCGCCGAAGGGGGCUCUCUGGCUAUUAACUGACGCUGAGGCGCGAAAGGCGCAUGGGUAGCAAACAGGAUUAGAUACCCUGGUAGUCCACGCCGUAAACGAUGAGUACUAGAUAUUGGAGCCUUUGACCGCUUCAGUGUCGCAGCUAACGCAUUAAGUACUCCGCCUGGGAAGUACGGUCGCAAGACUAAAACUCAAAGGAAUUGACGGGGGCCCGCACAAGCGGUGGAUUAUGUGGUUUAAUUCGAAGCAACGCGCAAACCUUACCUAGGCUUGAAAUCCCGAGAAGAAUCGACCAAAAUUGAUUGUGCUCUUCGGAGAACUCGGUGACAGGCGCUGCAUGCUGUCGUCAGCUCGUGUCGUGAGAUGUUGGGUUAAGUCUCGCAACGAGCGCAACCCCUAUCCUUAGUUGCCAGCAUUAAGUUGGGCUUUCUAGGGAGACUGCCUGGGUUAACCAGGAGGAAGGUGGGGAUGACGUCAAGUCCUCAUGGCCCUUAUGUCUAGGGCUACACACGUAAUACAAUGGUGCAUACAAAGAGACGCGAUCAGGUGACUGUCAGCAAAUCUCAAAAAGUGCAUCUCAGUCCGGAUUGGAGUCUGCAACUCGACUCCAUGAAGUUGGAAUCGCUAGUAAUCGCAGAUCAGCACGCUGCGGUGAAUACGUUCCCGGGCCUUGUACACACCACCCGUCACACCAUGGGAGUUGAUCUC